rnacentral:rRNA from 1 species
CCUACGGGAGGCAGCAGUGGGGAAUAUUGCACAAUGGGGGGAACCCUGAUGCAGCGACGCCGCGUGGGUGAAGGAGUAUUUCGGUAUGUAAAGCCCUAUCAGCAGGGAAGAACAAUGACGGUACCUGACUAAGAAGCACCGGCUAAAUACGUGCCAGCAGCCGCGGUAAUACGUAUGGUGCAAGCGUUAUCCGGAUUUACUGGGUGUAAAGGGAGCGCAGGCGGCGCGUUAAGCCUGGUGUGAAAGUCCGCGGCCCAACCGCGGGACUGCAUUGGGAACUGGCGCGCUGGAGUGCCGGAGGGGUAGGCGGAAUUCCUAGUGUAGCGGUGAAAUGCGUAGAUAUUAGGAGGAACACCAGUGGCGAAGGCGGCCUACUGGACGGUGACUGACGUUGAGGCCCGAAAGCGUGGGGAGCAAACAGGAUUAGAUACCCCAGUAGUC